rnacentral:rRNA from 1 species
CACGCCCUAAACGAUGCAGAUUAGCUUUUCGGAGUAUCGACCCUCUGAGAGGCGUAGCUAACGCGUUAAAUCUGCCGCCUGGGAAGUACGGCCGCAAGGCUAAAACUCAAAGGAAUAGACGGGGACUCGCACAAGUGGUGGAUUAUGUGGUUUAAUUCGAUGAUAAACGAAGAACCUUACCAAGGUUAGAAAUCUAGACGAAGAUACGCAGAAACGUGUAUCGUCUUCGGACGGCUAGACAGGUGA